GACGAACGCUGGCGGCGUGCCUAAUACAUGCAAGUUGAGCGCUGAAGGUUGGUACUUGUACCAACUGGAUGAGCAGCGAACGGGUGAGUAACGCGUGGGGAAUCUGCCUUUGAGCGGGGGACAACAUUUGGAAACGAAUGCUAAUACCGCAUAAAAACUUUAAACACAAGUUUUAAGUUUGAAAGAUGCAAUUGCAUCACUCAAAGAUGAUCCCGCGUUGUAUUAGCUAGUUGGUGAGGUAAAGGCUCACCAAGGCGAUGAUACAUAGCCGACCUGAGAGGGUGAGCGGCCACAUUGGGACUGAGACACGGCCCAAACUCCUACGGGAGGCAGCAGUAGGGAAUCUUCGGCAAGAGACGAAAGUCUGACCGAGCAACGCCGCGGGAGUGAAGAAGGUUUUCGGAUCGUAAAACUCUGUUGGUAGAGAAGAACGUUGGUGAGAGUGGAAAGCUCAUCAAGUGACGGUAACUACCCAGAAAGGGACGGCUAACUACGUG
rnacentral:rRNA from 1 species